rnacentral:rRNA from 1 species
UACGUAGGUGGCAAGCGUUGUCCGGAUUUACUGGGCGUAAAGAGCGCGCAGGCGGUCGGAUCAGUCGAAUGUGAAAGCCCCCGGCUCAACUGGGGAGGGUCAUUCGAUACUGUCCGACUCGAAGGCAGGAGAGGGAAGCGGAAUUCCCGGUGUAGUGGUGAAAUGCGUAGAUAUCGGGAGGAACACCAGUGGCGAAGGCGGCUUUCUGGCCUGUUACCGACGCUCAGGCGCGACAGCGUGGGGAGCAAACAGG